GGGAGUGAAAUAGAACCUGAAACCCUGCACUUACAAGCUGUGGAAGCACAUUUCUUGUGUGACCGCGUACUUUUUGUAGAACGGGCCAACGAGUUACGUUAAGUAGCAAGGUUAAGCACUUAAGGUGCGGAGCCGUAGCGAAAGCGAGUUUUAACUGAGCGUUCAGUUACUUGACGUAGACCCGAAACCGGGCGACCUACCCAGGAGCAGGAUGAAGCGAAAGUAAAAUUUCGUGGAGGUCCGAACCCACGAGCGUUGAAAAGCUCGGGGAUGACUUGUGGGUAGCGGUGAAAUUCCAAUCGAGCCCGGAGAUAGCUGGUUCUCCCCGAAA
rnacentral:rRNA from 1 species